rnacentral:rRNA from 1 species
GACGAACGCUGGCGGCGUGCUUAACACAUGCAAGUCGAACGGUGAAGCGCCUUCCUUUUUGGUGGGUGUGGAUGAGUGGCGAACGGGUGAGUAACACGUGAGUAACCUGCCCCCUUCUUCUGGAUAACCGCAUGAAAGUGUGGCUAAUACGGGAUAUUCUGGGUCUGUCGCAUGAUGGGUCUGGGAAAGAUAUUGUUUCGGUGGGGGAUGGGCUCGCGGCCUAUCAGCUUGUUGGUGGGGUGAUGGCCUACCAAGGCGGUGACGGGUAGCCGGCCUGAGAGGGUGGAGGGACGCGAGGGGCGGGAGGCACGGGCCAGACACCGACGGGGGCAGGGGGGGGGGUUUGUUAAAGAGUGGGAGAAGGCUGGAGGCAGCGAGGCCGGGGGAGGGAGGGGGGCGUUUGGGUGGGGGCCUUUUUUGGGAAGGGAAAGCGGCCGGUUUCUUUUGGGGGGGGGUGACGGGAAGCAGAGAAAAAGGCCCGGCUAAAUUAGUG